rnacentral:tRNA from 1 species
CCCUGAGCGGCCUAGUCAGUAGCGUGUCUGGCUUGCGACCGAAUGGUCGUGGGUUCGAAUCCCUCCUAAGGGA